rnacentral:tRNA from 1 species
GGAGAGGUGGCAGAGUGGUCGAAUGCGCCUGACUCGAAAUCAGGUGUGCCCGUUCGGGUACCGGGGGUUCGAAUCCCUCCCUCUCCGCCA